UCGAGAAUCUUCCGCAAUGGGCGAAAGCCUGACGGAGCGAUGUCGCGUGAUGGAUGAAGUUCUUAGGAACGUAAACAUCUUUUAUCGGGGAGAAAAUUUUGAUAGUACCCGGUGAAUAAGGGGUUGCUAAACUCGUGCCAGCAGCAGCGGUAAUACGAGUGCCCCAAGCGUUAUCCGGAAUUACUGGGCGUAAAGGGUGUGUAGGCGGAGUGAUUAGUCUUGGGUCAAAGCUCCCGGCUUAACCGGGAUGAGGCCUAAGAAACGGUCACACUAGAGGGUGCGAAGGGUCUAUGGAACUCAUGGUGUAGGAGUGAAAUCCGUUGAUAUCAUGGGGAACACCAAAAGCGAAGGCAAUAGACUGGCGCAUUACUGACGCUGAAACACGAAAGCGUGGGGAUCAAACGGG
rnacentral:rRNA from 1 species